rnacentral:rRNA from 1 species
UACAGAGGUCUCAAGCGUUGUUCGGAUUCAUUGGGCGUAAAGGGUGCGUAGGUGGCGCCGUAAGUCAGGUGUGAAAUUUCGGAGCUUAACUCCGAAACUGCAUUUGAUACUGCGGUGCUUGAGGACUGGAGAGGAGACUGGAAUUUACGGUGUAGCAGUGAAAUGCGUAGAGAUCGUAAGGAAGACCAGUGGCGAAGGCGGGUCUCUGGACAGUUCCUGACCAGCUGAGGCACGAAGGCCAGGGAGCAAACGGG